CGUUGAAACACCAGUUCCCGUACUAUCACCGAAGUUAAGCAACGUCGAGCAUGGUCAGUACCUAGAUGGGUGGCCGCUUGGAAAUACCAGAUACUGUAAG
rnacentral:rRNA from 1 species